CCUUCUACUGUUAAUUUUUGAGAUGUGGCACACCAGCCUGUGCAUAUACAUGCAAAUGUUCGUGGAAGGAUGUGACCAGGAGCAGAGAUUUUUACAAGAAGCUGAGAGGGUCAAAGUGAUGCUUGUAGAAGGACAAUGUAGAUCUCCAUUGAUGAUGACUUGAAGGGGGUGAUGGGUCCCUCGAAACGUGGAGGAAACAGACCUGCCAACUUCUUUUCCAUUGGAGGAAACUGAGGCAGAGGAACUAAUAUCUCCCCCUAUGACGUGGAUGAAGUUAGCAUGAGCCGUGACAAUCUAAGUGGUGCCGAUCUGGCUUUUCCGAUGGUCCUGCCCUGCAAGAAGGCCCCUUGAGCUGGCGUCUCAAUGAUAACUCAUGGAGGAAUGCAGAGAUGUGAGAACAGGCUCAUAGCCCGUCAGACUGUAUUAAGCUAAGCAAUACAGGUGUCCACUUGCCAGCACAGUCGCCGUC